ACGUAUGGAGCAAGCGUUAUCCGGAUUUACUGGGUGUAAAGGGAGCGUAGGCGGUGCUGCAAGUCUGAUGUGAAAGGCCGGGGCUCAACCCCGGGACUGCAUUGGAAACUGUAGGACUAGAGUGUCGGAGGGGUAAGUGGAAUUCCUAGUGUAGCGGUGAAAUGCGUAGAUAUUAGGAGGAACACCAGUGGCGAAGGCGGCUUACUGGACGACUACUGACGCUGAGGCUCGAAAGCGUGGGGAGCAAACAG
rnacentral:rRNA from 1 species